UUGCAGCUUUCUGGUGGUUGUAGAUGGUUAUCACCUCCCCUUCUUUAGCCCUGGCUGGAUAGCUUCCCACCCCGCGGAUGAGCACUGAUAUCCCUCCAAGAAUGAGGCUGAUCAGCAUUGGGAUUUGGCCAUGGCAUGCAGGCAUGAUACCAACCCUGAUGGAAUGAGGGUCUGAUGAGGUCUGGAAAACAGGAUUUCUCCAUGUGCUAUAACACCAGUUCUGAUUAUGCAGGAAAAUAUUCCCAAGUGGCCGAAUGAAUAUUAGUAAAAAGGCUGGACACCAUCAGAGAUUCAUCUGCCCUCAGGUUCUCACCCAGUGACAGCAGCAGUGGGG